rnacentral:rRNA from 1 species
AGGGGGGUUGGCGGGCGUGCUAUACAUGCAGUCGAGCGAAUCGGAUGGGAGCUUGCUCCUUGUAUGUUUACCGCGCGACGGGUUGAGUCACGUGUGGGUCCUGCCUGUUAGACUGGGAUAUCUUCCGGGACCCGGGGCUUACCCGAUGCUUGUUUGAACCCCAUGGGUUCGCAAAUGAGGUGGCUUCGGCUAUCUCUCUCAUGUGGGGCCCCGGCUCAUUAUCUCUAUGUGGAGAGGUUGCGUCUCCACGGCGACGAUGCGUAUCCGACAUCUGAGAGUGAUCUCCCACACUGUGGACUGUGACACAGGCCACACUCUUAUACGGGAGAGCACUAUGGGAUCUCUUCCACUGUGCGAAAGUCUCUGAGAGAAACGCCGCGCGAGUGAGAUAAGUGUUCGCAUCUCAAAACUCUGUUUUGUGGGGGGAGAACAUGUGCUUGUAAUAUGGGCGGGCCUUGUGAGGGCCUAAAACAGAGCCACACCUCUCUACAUGUGCGCAGACGCGCUAUAUACAUGUGUGAAAGUUUUCCCGAAAUUUUUGGCGUUAAAGCUCGCACGGGGGGUUCUCUUAACUGAUGUGUAAAACCCCCAGCGUCUCACCCGGGGAGAGGGCUCUUGGAAAUCGGGAACAUUUAGUGUCGCAAAAAGAAGAAGUGGGGAUUUCCCAUGUUGUCGGUGUAAAUUGCUGUAAGAUGUUGGGGGGAAACCCACAUGUGGCAAGGGGACACCUCUCGGGCCGGAACGAGACCUGAGGAGCGGAAAACGUGGGGGAGGCCAACGGAUUAGAUACCUUGUGUGAGUCCCCCGCUUAACGAGAAGUGUGCUUAUUGGCUAAGGAGGGUUUCCCGCCCUUUAAUGGUGUGCGACGUUAACCCUUUAAAGCAUCUCCGCCCUGGGGGAGAUACACGGUCCCCAAGAGCUUGAACUUUUAAGAGAUUUGAGGGGGGGCCCGCCACAACCGUGGGGAAACAUUGGGGGUUUUAUAAUUC